AGAGUUUGAUCAUGGCUCAGGACGAACGCUGGCGGCGUGCUUAACACAUGCAAGUCGAACGGGCCUUGUCCCCUUUUUUUUCGGGGGUGGGGUUAGUGGCGAACGGGUGAGUAACACGUGAGUAACCUGCCCCUCACUUCUGGAUAACCGCUUGAAAGGGUGGCUAAUACGGGGUGCUCUGGCCUGCUCGCAUGGGUGGGUUUGGAAAGAUUCGACCGGUUUUGGUUGUUUUGGUGGGGGAUGGGCUCGCGGCCUAUCAGCUUGUUGGUGGGGUGAUGGCCUGCCAAGGCUUUGACGGGUAGCCGGCCUGAGAGGGUGGGCGGUCGCACUGGGACUGAGACACGGCCCAG
rnacentral:rRNA from 1 species